AUACUUCACAAGAUACGUGAAGAGAGUCUUUGAGGUAAAAUCAAAUCCCUAUUAGGAUAAAUGAUUGAGUGUUCCUGUAAAGAAUUGUUCCCCUGGUUCAAGCAACCAGAUUUCAUUCCCAGAUGAUCAAAAAUGGACUUGAUGAAAUGGAAAAGCACUGAUAGAAACAGCCCCCUCUGCUGCAGGUCUGCUGGAGUUUGCUG
rnacentral:lncRNA from 1 species